CCCCCCUGCCACUCGCGUAUCUAUCGCUUAUCUUCUUUGCGGCGAGGUACAACUGCUGCCUCAGCACGUGCGUCUUGUGCAUCUCAGCACCUCCAUUGUGCGCGCUUUUUCGGGGCUCGCUCUCCUCUUUUUCAUCUGAACGAAUCGGGAGUGCCCACGCAUCGCUGCCUCGACGCCGUCUUCCACGCCAGCAUAGGCAUACGUGCGCGCAGUCACGAGCACCAAAAGCGGGUGGGGAAUGGCGGCGCCGUUUCUGCCCGAGGCGGAGAGCACCGCUGCGCCAGCGGCCCUCCGCUCCAACGCACCGGACGAGGUGGAGGUGCUGCCCAUUGGCAGUGGGGGCGAGGUGGGCCGCUCGUGUGUGGUGGUGCGAUACAAGGGGCGCGGCGUCAUGCUUGACUGCGGCAACCACCCGGCCAAAAGCGGUCUUGACUCCUUGCCCUUCUUUGACAGCAUCAAGUGCGACGAGAUCGAUGUGGUGCUCAUCACGCACUUCCACCUCGACCACUGCGGGGCAUUGCCGUACUUCUGCAAUCAGACGUCCUUCAAGGGCCGCAUCUUCAUGACCAGCGCCACCAAGGCCUUCUACAAGAUGGUCAUGAACGACUUCCUGCGCAUCGGCGCCGGGGCCAGCGACCUUGUCACGAGCGAGUGGCUACAGAGCACAAUCGAUCGCAUUGAGACCGUCGAGUACCACGAAGAGGUCACCGUGAACGGCAUCUCCUUCCAGCCCUUCAAUGCCGGCCACGUGCUUGGAGCAGCCAUGUUCAUGGUCGACAUUGCCGGCAUGCGUGCCCUGUACACAGGCGACUUCUCCCGAGUGCCGGACCGCCACCUGCUGGGGGCAGAGGUGCCACCGUACUCACCAGACAUCCUGAUUGCGGAGAGUACAAACGGCAUCCGCGAGCUCGAGUCCCGCGAGGAGCGCGAGCACCUCUUCACGAGCAGUGUGCACGACGUCGUACGCCGCGGCGGUCGCUGUCUAGUGCCCGUCUUUGCCCUAGGCCGCGCGCAGGAACUGCUCCUCAUUCUCGAGGAGUUCUGGGAUGCGCACAAGGAGCUGCAGAACAUUCCCAUCUACUACGCCUCGUCGCUGGCCCAGCGGUGCAUGAAACUUUACCAAACCUUCGUCAGCGCCAUGAACGACCGUGUGAAGCAGCAGCAUGCCAAUCACCACAACCCCUUCGUCUUCAAGUACAUCCACUCGCUUAUGGACACAAAGUCCUUCGAGGACAACGGUCCGUGCGUGGUGCUGGCCUCCCCCGGUAUGCUUCAGUCGGGCAUCUCGCUGGAGCUAUUUGAGCGUUGGUGCGGCGACCGGCGCAACGGCAUCAUCAUGGCCGGCUACUGCGUCGACGGCACCAUUGCAAAGGAUGUGCUCGCGAAGCCGAAGGAGGUGGCGAAGCCGGACGGCAAAGUGCUACCGUUGCGCAUGAGCACCAUUGAGGCCGUCUCCUUCUCCGCCCACUCGGACGGUCGGCAGACGCGCGACUUCAUUCAAAGCCUUACCAAGGUGAAGCACACAAUCCUUGUGCACGGCAACCCAGGCGCCAUGGGGCAGCUCAAGAGCAAGCUUCUUCAGGACUUCCGGGACCGCAACAUGUCCGUCUACACUACCAUGAACCAAGAGUCAAUCCGUAUUCCGUUCGUGCAGGAGCGCACCGCGAAGGUGAUGGGCAAGCUGGCAAACAUGAGCCUGCGGGAGGGCGAGUUUGUGAGCGGCGUGAUGCUCGUGUCCGGCCAGCACCAGUACAGCAUCGUCCACCCCGACGACGUCCCGGUGUUCACCGAUCUGAGCGUGAACCGUAUUCAGCAGGCCAUGGUCCUUCCUCUGCCGCGUCACCGCUCGCCGCUGGAGGUGCUGCAGGUGCUUCAGCGGUACUUUGCGCAGAGCAAACUGUUCGAGGAGGUGGUGCCGCGCCCGUCCAGCCACGAGGAAGCGGCAGAGGCCCAUCAAGCAGCCGCCGAGCGCGGCGAGGCCCGCGACCCCGACUCGACCCUGCUGUUCGUCUCCAAAGAUGUCACUGUCGAUGUGCAGAAGAGCUCGCAGGCGCAGACGACGCUCACCAUCACGUGGUACAGCAGCCACUACAACGACCUCCUCGCCGACGUCACGUGCAUCGCGCUCGCCAAGCUUGCCGAGGAGCCGCAUGAGGCGGAGGCGGAGGACGUGCUUGUGCCUGCCGACGUCUCCGGCCAGGACCGUAUCUUCCGUGUCAAGUGCUUCCACUACAUGAUCUCGCAGUUCUAUCCGUCCGUCAAGACGAACUUGUCGUCGGGUAGCUGCAGCGUCAGCCUUGCGGAUGGUCAGGUAGCAAACAUCGUGGACUGCAUCGAGGUCUACUUGGAACGCAGUGCUGGCAAGAAGGACGUCGACUACGACGCGCCAGAGGUUCAGAAGCUGAAGCAGAUUCUGAAGCGCAUCUACCUGACGUUGUUCCCCAUUCCAGCGGACAACGGCUGGUGCGACUGCGGCAUGAUUCACGGCGAAGAACCCGUGGCGGAGUAACGGUGGCCUCGGCGCCCGCCACCUUCCCCCUCCCCUCCUCUCCCCCCCUCUCACCGUCCUUGUCGCGGCUUUCCACGGCGCCGCAUCGUUGCUACUCGUUGCUCGCCAG
rnacentral:misc_RNA from 1 species